AGUCGAGCGGUAGCACAGAGAGCUUGCUCUCGGGUGACGAGCGGCGGACGGGUGAGUAAUGUCUGGGAAACUGCCUGAUGGAGGGGGAUAACUACUGGAAACGGUAGCUAAUACCGCAUAAUGUCGCAAGACCAAAGUGGGGGACCUUCGGGCCUCAUGCCAUCAGAUGUGCCCAGAUGGGAUUAGCUAGUAGGUGGGGUAACGGCUCACCUAGGCGACGAUCCCUAGCUGGUCUGAGAGGAUGACCAGCCACACUGGAACUGAGACACGGUCCAGACUCCUACGGGAGGCAGCAGUGGGGAAUAUUGCACAAUGGGCGCAAGCCUGAUGCAGCCAUGCCGCGUGUGUGAAGAAGGCCUUCGGGUUGUAAAGCACUUUCAGCGGGGAGGAAGGCGUUAAGGUUAAUAACCUUGGCGAUUGACGUUACCCGCAGAAGAAGCACCGGCUAACUCCGUGCCAGCAGCCGCGGUAAUACGGAGGGUGCAAGCGUUAAUCGGAAUUACUGGGCGUAAAGCGCACGCAGGCGGUCUGUCAAGUCGGAUGUGAAAUCCCCGGGCUCAACCUGGGAACUGCAUUCGAAACUGGCAGGCUAGAGUCUUGUAGAGGGGGGUAGAAUUCCAGGUGUAGCGGUGAAAUGCGUAGAGAUCUGGAGGAAUACCGGUGGCGAAGGCGGCCCCCUGGACAAAGACUGACGCUCAGGUGCGAAAGCGUGGGGAGCAAACAGGAUUAGAUACCCUGGUAGUCCACGCCGUAAACGAUGUCGAUUUGGAGGUUGUGCCCUUGAGGCGUGGCUUCCGGAGCUAACGCGUUAAAUCGACCGCCUGGGGAGUACGGCCGCAAGGUUAAAACUCAAAUGAAUUGACGGGGGCCCGCACAAGCGGUGGAGCAUGUGGUUUAAUUCGAUGCAACGCGAAGAACCUUACCUGGUCUUGACAUCCACAGAACUUUCCAGAGAUGGAUUGGUGCCUUCGGGAACUGUGAGACAGGUGCUGCAUGGCUGUCGUCAGCUCGUGUUGUGAAAUGUUGGGUUAAGUCCCGCAACGAGCGCAACCCUUAUCCUUUGUUGCCAGCGGUUCGGCCGGGAACUCAAAGGANACUGCCAGUGAUAAACUGGAGGAAG
rnacentral:rRNA from 1 species